UUAUUAUAAGUUUAAAACCUUGAUUUUGUAAAUCAAAAUAAAUAUAAUAAA
rnacentral:tRNA from 1 species